GGAUUUUUUCUAAACGGCCGCAGAAUUUUAACUGUGCUAAGGUAGCGUAAUCAUUUGUCUUUUAAUUGAAGACUAGUAUGAAUGGUUUAACGAAAUUAAACUGUCUUUUUUAUAUAAACUAAAAUUUAAUCUUAAAGUCAAAAAGCUUUAAUAUAAUAAAAAGACAAAAAGACCCUAUAGAGUUUUAUUUUUAACUUUAGACAUAAUCUAUUAAAAAUUUUGUUGGGGCAACAAAGAAAAAAUAAAUUUUUCUUUAAAUAAAUAAAUAUUUUAUAUCAUUUACUUAAUAAAUCAAAAUAAAUUACCUUAGGGAUAACAGCGUAACUUUCUUUGAGAGUCCAAAUCGAAAAGAAAAAUUAC
rnacentral:rRNA from 1 species